GAUGAACGCUGGCGGCGUGCCUAAUACAUGCAAGUCGAGCGAAAAGACGAGGAGCUUGCUCCUCUGACGUUAGCGGCGGACGGGUGAGUAACACGUGGAUAACCUACUUAUAAGACUGGGAUAACUUCGGGAAACCGGAGCUAAUAACGGAUAAUAUAUUGAACCGCAUGGUUCAAUAGUGAAAGACGGUUUUGCUGUCACUUAUAGAUGGAUCCGCGCCGCAUUAGCUAGUUGGUAAGGUAACGGCUUACCAAGGCGACGAUGCGUAGCCGACCUGAGAGGGUGAUCGGCCACACUGGAACUGAGACACGGUCCAGACUCCUACGGGAGGCAGCAGUAGGGAAUCUUCCGCAAUGGGCGAAAGCCUGACGGAGCAACGCCGCGUGAGUGAUGAAGGUCUUCGGAUCGUAAAACUCUGUUAUUAGGGAAGAACAAAUGUGUAAGUAACUAUGCACGUCUUGACGGUACCUAAUCAGAAAGCCACGGCUAACUACGUG
rnacentral:rRNA from 1 species